rnacentral:rRNA from 1 species
UACAGAGGGGGCAAGCGUUAUUCGGAAUUAUUGGGCCUAAAGCAUCCGUAGCCGGUCAUGCAAGUCUUCCGUUAAAUCCAGCCGCUCAACGGUUGGGCUGCGGAGGAUACUACGUGGCUAGGAGGCGGGAGAGGCAAGCGGUACUCAGUGGGUAGGGGUAAAAUCCUUUGAUCCAUUGAAGACCACCAGUGGCGAAGGCGGCUUGCCAGAACGCGCUCGACGGUGAGGGAUGAAAGCUGGGGGAGCAAACCGG